rnacentral:lncRNA from 1 species
AGUUACAUCACUUAGCUCACUUGAGAAAAUCAAAGUUAAAAAGACUAAUGAGCUCUAAGUUUUCAAUCCCAAGACUGACCUCUAUGGUUCAGGACAUCAGUUCCAGGUGUCAGAUGUGUGCACAGUUAAACUCCAAGGUGAAACCAAAGAACAAAGUCUCUUCAAGCCUUACAGAUUCUUCAGAGUGAGAUCCAGGCUACAAGACAACAGGCUCGAGAAAAAGCCUCUGCGACAUUCCAGCCCCAUGGUUUCAAGUCAGGAGACCUGGUCCUGAUAUGCUUGGUCUGCUUGCACCGAGGACUUGACUAUUUAAAUACAUUCCCAAAUCAAUCUUGGCUACCCAAUCUGCCACUUUAUUUUGUGUCAUGGUGUAUGUUUUCCACAAGUCUUGUAUUAUAAUAAAAAAGGAGGCCGCGAACAUCUGGGAUUAACCACUGAACACUAUAGGAGUAAAUGGGCUGCCCCCGUUUUAGUGCCCAUUCUGGUGGGAUUAGGAAUAGCCAGGUCAGCGGCUAUUGGAACUUCCUCCCUGAUCCUUCAGGACAAAUUUUAAAGCCCUAAGCCACCAGGUAGCCAGAGAUUUGGGUUGCCUGAAAGACUUGAUCUCUAGAUUAAAAAACCAGGUUGAUUCCCUAGCUGAGAUGGUCCUACAAAUCAAAGGGGACUUGACCUCCUGUUCAUGAAACAAAAAGGGUUAUGUGUAGCCCUAAAAAAACCCAAAAACCUGUUGCUUCUAUGCUAAUGGUUAACUACCCUAGUUUCUGCUAUAGCAGGCCCCCUAGUUAUCUUACUUCUGCUUUUGCUCGUGAGACCUUACAUUACAAAUGCUCUGACUAAAUACAUUAGACAGAGGGUUGAUACAGUUAAACUGGUGGUGUUGAGACAAAAUUAUGAAAUUUUAAAAGACGUUUUAAAAAAAAUUCAAAGAGUAAAUAUAGGAAUCAAAGAUUUGAUUAAGUUACAAGAACCAGUGGGGCAGGAAAGACCCUGGUUAGCAAGACAGACUCCAUAUUGCUGCUUGACCCACCUGUC